rnacentral:tRNA from 4 species
GCGGAUGUGGCGGAAUUGGCAGACGCGCUGGUUUCAGGUACCAGUGGGGGUAACUCCGUGGAGGUUCGACUCCUCUCAUCCGCA